UCAUCGUCGGGCCUAAAAAGAAGAACAAUUUAUGGAAGGCCCAAACAGGAACAAUUCGUCGGGCCCAAAAAGAAAAACAAUUCAUGGAAGGCGAAAACGAGGAUAAAAUUUGUGAUGAGGGCCAAAAAAUGAUGUGGAUACUAACAGGAUGAUUAAUAUCGUGUCGCGUUGUGAUUCAUCUACCCCAAAUAGAAGUUCGUGUAUUCGGCAUUAAGAAGUACCGUCUUGGCCUCGAGUCUUUCCGAGCGGCUCUCACGAUGAUUUAUUUGCAAAAUCUGUUAUUGUCUCGCAUUAUUCACCAAUUUUCGUGCCUCGUGGGAAGUAUUUCAGUCGGAACACACUGAAUAAAAAAAUCAGUUAGCAUGGUUGGAUGGAAAACGAAGAGGAAAAUCAGUGUCAAAUUUAAAAAAAAACUUAUCGUCAGUAAUAGAAAAAUCAUGGAAAAUUCAACAGUUACAGUGAUCAAAAAAAAAAGUUUUAACAAUCGCAGAAGUGAAACCAGAGAUUAAUGUUAGGAAAAAUCAAACAGCAUGGGUAUUA